GUCUCGAGCUUUGGCUUAUCUCGUCGGAGGUUAGGAUGCAUCAUGAGCUCUGUUUCAACCGUAUACACAUAUUAGAACCCUAAGAGUUUCGGAGCCCAAAAAGUUGAAAAGCAAAUGGAAUAUGAUUACGAAGUUAUUCAAGGAAGCAUGGAGUCACUCCGAGAAUUUAUACACAAAGAAUGUUAUUAUCUCCUGUUCCGGAUAAAUAGGCUGUAAUAACCUUCGGAAAGAAGUUGAAUAAGAGCAGUUCCGAAUCUAUGAGAAGGUUGAAGGAAUAUCUCCGAAAAAUUCCCACCUACAACACGGAAUGAUGUGUAUACUCUUACAACACCAAUCCUCGAACAGAAGAAGAUGCAAUGAGUCGAACCGACACUAAUAAUGUGUCCAGAAGGAGGCACAUCGAACAUUUGAAAUGUACUACAAGAUGAGCAGAAACUGAUCGUAGAAGUUCCAAGAGUCAUUAUAAGCCUUACUCCGGCUCUUAACGUGAUUUUGAAAGGUGAUAGAAGCCAAAUAGGAUAAUUGAAGGUCCAUUCAAAAGAACAACAUCGGACCUUUCCGGACAAACAGAAAUAUUUUCGGGCACAAACAGUGAACCGAAGGAAUUGGACGCCACGAGGUUAAAUGCUGAAGAACAAAUAAUCAUAUUCUUACCGGAUAGGAAGGCUUACGUGGAUUCGAAACUCAACCCCAAACUCAGAGGCGGAUCCAGGAUUCGGAGGUUUCGGGUGCCACACUACUUUGAAAGUAGUCGUGUACGUGGUCUAAAUCGGGUAAAUAUUUGGUAGAUUUAACCAUAUCGGGCUUC
rnacentral:lncRNA from 1 species